rnacentral:rRNA from 1 species
AUUGAACGCUGGCGGCAGGCCUAACGCAUGCCAGUCGAACGGUAACAGGAAGAAGCUUGCUUCUUUGCUGACGAGUGGCGGACGGGUGAGUAAUGUCUGGGAAACUGCCUGAUGGAGGGGGAUAACUACUGGAAACGGUAGCUAAUACCGCAUAACGUCGCAAGACCAAAGAGGGGGACCUUCGGGCCUCUUGCCAUCGGAUGUGCCCAGAUGGGAUUAGCUAGUAGGUGGGGUAACGGCUCACCUAGGCGACGAUCCCUAGCUGGUCUGAGAGGAUGACCAGCCACACUGGAACUGAGACACGGUCCAGACUCCUACGGGAGGCAGCAGUGGGGAAUAUUGCACAAUGGGCGCAAGCCUGAUGCAGCCAUGCCGCGUGUAUGAAGAAGGCCUUCGGGUUGUAAAGUACUUUCAGCGGGGAGGAAGGGAGUAAAGUUAAUACCUUUACUCAUUGACGUUACCCGCAGAAGAAGCACCGGCUAACUCCGUG